rnacentral:rRNA from 1 species
UAGUCCACACCGUAAACGAUGAAUGCCAGUCGUCGGGUAGUAUACUAUUCGGUGACACACCUAACGGAUUAAGCAUUCCGCCUGGGGAGUACGGUCGCAAGAUUAAAACUCAAAGGAAUUGACGGGGCCCGCACAAGCGGUGGAGCAUGUGGUUUAAUUCGAUGCAACGCGAAGAACCUUACCAGGUCUUGACAUACAGCGAACUUUCCAGAGAUGGAUUGGUGCCUUCGGGAACGCUGAUACAGGUGCUGCAUGGCUGUCGUCAGCUCGUGUCGUGAGAUGUUGGGUUAAAUCCCGCAACGAGCGCAACCCCUGUCUUUAGUUGCCAGCGAGUAAUGUCGGGGACUCUAAAGAUACUGCCUGCGCAAGCAGUGAGGAAGGAGGGGACGACGUCAAAUCAUCAUGGGCCUUUAUGCCCAGGGGCUACACACGUGCUACAAUGGCGGGGACAAAGGGUUGCGAC